rnacentral:lncRNA from 1 species
GUCUCAUAUCACCAUCCUUGUUAGAACCCGUGUCAUCAUUUCUUUCGGCCCCAGAGAUGACAUGACUUUCCAAGGAGUACACAAUGAAGAUCCAGUGCUGGUCUAGCACAUCUUAAUUUCAGCUCACCACAAUCCGAGUGCUCAACAGCCACACGUGACCAGAGGCUGCAGUGUUGGACAGCAGAGCUCUCGGGCAAUGGUUUCCAGUGCAAGUCUGCCAGUCUACGAUGAAAAGGGGAAGCCAGCUGCCAUGUUGUGAGGAUUCUCAAGCAGCCCUGUGGCGAUGUCUUUGUAGCGAGGAACUGAGGCCUCCUGCCAACAGCCAUGGGAGUGAGCCAUCUUGGAAGCAGAUCCCUCAGCUCCAGUGAGAGCUUCACGCGUCGGCAGCUCUUCCUGAAGACUACAUGUCUAUAACUUGACUACAAUCUUGUGAGAGACCCUGAGCCACAGCCACCCAGCUAGGCUGCUUCCAGAGUCCCUACCUUCAGAAACUGCAUGACGAUUUCAGAACAAAACAUGGAAACCAGAUGACCAGAGAAGGAGGCAGGAUGCCCCAGCAGUCUUCAUUUCCAACCUGACCUUUGUCACCAGUUGUCAUUUUGGGCUGGGGAGCUCCCGCUGUUCUACCAGGCUACGCCUCCCUGAGCCUGUCACUCCUCUUCGUUCAUCGGACUGACUGAUUGCUUGUGGAUAUUUGGAAGCACCUAAUAUGUCC